rnacentral:rRNA from 1 species
CCCUUAGAUGUUCUGGGCUGCACGCGCGCUACACUGAAGCGUUCAACGAGUAUUUCACCUUGCCCGGGAGGGUUGGGUAAUCUUUUUAAAACGCUUCGUGAUGGGGAUAGAUUAUUGCAAUUAUUAAUCUUCAACGAGGAAUUCCUAGUAAGCGCGAGUCAUCAGCUCGUGCUGAUUACGUCCCUGCCCUUUGUACACACCGCCCGUCGCUCCUACCGAUGGGGUGAUCCGGUGAAUGAUUCGGACUUCCGCAGUGCUAGCUACUAGCUUUGUGGAAGAAAGUCUUGUGAACCUUAUCACUUGGAGGAAGGAGAAGUCGUAACA